AUGACCUCGGAUCAGGUAGGGAUACCCGCUGAACUUAAGCAUAUCAAUAAGCGGAGGAAAAGAAACCAACAGGGAUUACCUCAGUAA
rnacentral:rRNA from 1 species